GAUCAUUAUCGUGGGGAUUCGUCCCUAUCGAGAUAGCACCCUUUGUCUAUGAGUACCUUCUGUUUCCUCGGCGGGCUUGCCCGCCAACGGGGACCACAUAAACCCUUUGUAAUAGCAGUAACUUCUGAUAACAAACAAAUAUUAAAACUUUCAACAACGGAUCUCUUGGUUCUGGCAUCGAUGAAGAACGCAGCGAAAUGCGAUAAGUAGUGUGAAUUGCAGAAUUCAGUGAAUCAUCGAAUCUUUGAACGCACAUUGCGCCCUUCGGUAUUCCGUAGGGCAUGCCUGUUCGAGCGUCAUUUAAACCUUCAAGCUCUGCUUGGUGUUGGGUGUUUGUCCCGCCUCCGCGUGUGGACUCGCCUCAAAAGUAUUGGCAGCCGGUAGAUCGGCUUCGUGCGCAGCAGAAUACGCGCGUCGAGGCCCCUCUGUCGCUUUCCAGAAGCCCUUUUUUUUAUCUUGACCUCGGAUCAGGUAGGGAUACCCGCUGAACUUAAGCAUAUCAAUAAGCGGAGGAAAAGAAACCAACAGGGAUUGCCCUAGUAACGGCGAGUGAAGCGGCAACAGCUCAAAUUUGAAAUCUGGCUCUUUCAGGGUCCGAGUUGUAAUUUGUAGAGGGUGCUUUGGUGUCGGCAGCGGUCUAAGUUCCUUGGAACAGGACGUCACAGAGGGUGAGAAUCCCGUACGUGGCCGCUUGUCUUCACCGUGUAAAGCCCCUUCGACGAGUCGAGUUGUUUGGGAAUGCAGCUCUAAAUGGGAGGUAAAUUUCUUCUAAAGCUAAAUAUUGGCCAGAGACCGAUAGCGCACAAGUAGAGUGAUCGAAAGAUGAAAAGCACUUUGGAAAGAGAGUCAAAAAGCACGUGAAAUUGUUGAAAGGGAAGCGCUUGCAGCCAGACUUGCCUGUAGUUGCUCAUCCGGGAUUCUUCCCGGUGCACUCUUCUGCGGGCAGGCCAGCAUCAGUUCAGGCGGCUGGAUAAAGACCUGUGUCAUGUAGCUCCUCUCGGGGAGUGUUAUAGGGCAGGUGAAAUGCAGCCAGCUUGG
rnacentral:misc_RNA from 1 species